rnacentral:tRNA from 1 species
AAAAAUUUAGUUAAAUAAUAACAUCAAUUUGUCAAAUUGAAAUAAAUAGAUUUCUAUUAAUUUUUA